UUAUAGAGAGAGUCAGAGAGAGAAUCUGCCUACUGCCCAUUAAAAAAUUACUGACUGAGAGAGAAGGUAGAAGAAUGGAGUGGUGAGAUGAGAUUGGGAAGGAGGAAGCGUGGUCUUUUGUAGGACCUCUGACCAAGUUACUGACUUCACUUCCCCAAAUUCUGGAGAAGCGGGAAUUGUCCGGAAAAGAGAAAUCAGAGCAUAUAGGGCAAGGUUCAAGGGUUAUUUCUGAAGAUUUAAGGUUCAAGAGGAAAUAUAUAUAUAAAUCUCUCAUAUAUAUGUAUAUAUAUAUAUAUAUAUAUAUAUAAAUCUCUGUGUCUCUGCCUCUGUCACUCUAUAGCUGCCUUAGCUACUUAGUAUCAGAUUUUAAAUUAUACUGCAAAGUAGUAAAUAUCAAAAUAAUUCGUAAAGGAGAUGAACUGAGUUAUACAGAAGUACUCCAAAAAUCACAUCAUAAUGAGAAAUCCAGGAGUAUGUUGAGGGAGAAAGGAGAGAUAGGAGAUUAGUUGCAAUUGGAUUAGUGGAUAGUAUAAUAUCACUUUACAUAGUGUCCAGUGCUUAGCAUAGUACCUGGCACAUAGUAGGCACUUAAUAAAUGUUAAUUAAUUCAUUGAAAAGAAAUGAAAGACAGUUGUGAUGGCAUGAUAAGGGAGAAAGGGAUGUACAUUGCAAUUCUGUUCUUAAUUUCUUAUUGUGGGCUAUAAUUGUUCUAUUACAACCGACAGGGCAUUUUGUUGUUUGAUUGUGCCUGCUUAUCUUCAAUGAGCAUUUGUUAUUCUAUUAUAGGAUACCUGACAAUAUAAUUUUUAUUUUGGCAUUUCAAGACCUUUUUAGGUAGCAUCUCUUCUAGAAUUUUCAAGCUCAUCUUCCAGGAAACUGAAGUAAACAAGGUUAAGUGCCUUGCCCAGAGUCACAAGGCUAGUAAGUAUCUAAUGUCACAUUUGAACCCAGGAUCUUCCAUCUCCAGGCCUGGCUUUCUCUCCACUGAUCCACCUAGCUGCCCCUAGGCAGCAGUGUGAAUAUUUUCUCACCUAGCUGCCCUAGCUACAUAGUAUCAGAUUUGAACUAUACUAAAAAGUAGUAAUCAUAAAAAUAAUUUGAUACUGUUUAAGAAAGAGAAAGGUUGAUAAUAUGACAAGAAGCAAAUUAACAUAGUAGCCUACUGUUUAAUGACCCCCAAACAGUUCAGCUCUUGGGAUAAGAACUAAACUAUUUGACAAAAACUAUUUUAAAACAAACUGGUAGAAAAUAGACAUAGACCAUUCAUGCCAUAUGCCAAGGUAAGCUCCAAAUGGGCAGAUACCUUAGACAUGAAGAAUGACAUAAAAAACAAAUUAGAGAAGGGAGAAAGAAGUUUCUAGUCUGAUACACAGGGAGAGAAUUUAUGACUAAAUGAAGUAAAGAAAAUCACAGAGGUUAAAUGAACAAUUUUGAUUACAUAAAAUUAAAAAGGUUUUGCACAAAUAAAACUAGUGCAGCUAAAAUUAGAAAGGAAUCAGUUCAAUUCAAAAUGUAUUUAUAGCAUGUUAUUCUCAUAAAAGUCUUGUUUCUAAGGUAUAUAGAGAAUUGAUUUAAACUCAUAAGAAUGUCUCUUUAUCAAAUGUCCAAUCAAUAGUCACAAGCAUAUUUCCAGAGGCAGAAAUCCAAGAUAUCAAUAGCUAUCUGGAAAAAAAAUGCUCUAAAACUUAUAAUAAGAAAAGGGCAAAUUAAAACUGCUUUCAGGGCCCCCUCUUCACAGCCAUAGGAUUGACAAAGUUGACAGAAAAGGAAAAUGAUAAAUGCUGUACAAACUGUGAAAAAAAAAAAAGGUAUUUUAAUGUACUGUUGAUGAAACUGUGAGAUGGUCCAGCAUUUCUGGAAACCAAUUUAGAACUAUAUUAGAACCCUACCUUUUUGCCAGAAUGAAGUGAGAAGAACCAGGAGAACAAUAUAUACAAUAACAAUAUUAUAUAUAAUAUAAAUAUAUAUUUCAAACAAUUUGAAAGACAGGGAUUUUGAUCAAGGCAAUAACCAACCAGCUUUCCAGAGGAUGCAUGAUGAAACGUAUUUCUAUCUUCUGAUGGAGAAGGGAUGGAUUCAAGUUGCAUAUUGAGAUAUUUUGGGGGAGAAGAUAUGACCAACAUGGGUAAUUGGGCUUAAGUGACUUUCCCAGGGUCACACAGCUAGGAAAUGUAUGAAGUCACAUUUUCACCUGUCUUUUCUUUCCUUCAGGUUUGAAUAAUGCAUUCAAUUUAUACUUGGAUAAAUAGGCAAAAAAAAAUUUCUUUUGAAUUCUAUUAUUACUGAUUGACUAAUAUUUGUGCACUACUAAAGAUCUUUAUCAUUUUAAAGAAUUUUAUAAUUUAUUGAAAUUUUUAAAUAGCCAAGGUUGAGUUUGAAAUGUUUUUGGUUUAACUUUAAAUUGUCUUUUUAGAUUUGUAUGACAUGAGAACUAGAAGAGACAUUAGACAAUAUAAUCCAAUACUUGCAUUUUAUCAUUUAAAAAACUGAGGCUCAGAGAUGUAAAGUGUAUUGUCUAAGUUACACUCAUAAUUAAUAGCAGAGCCAGGAUUAAAACUAAGGCCUAAUUGCAAAUCUGAUACUCUUUCCUCAAAGUUUACAGCUGCCCUAUCUGUCAUGUUUGCUUAGGAAAACAUCCUUGUUUUCAAGUGUUUAGUUUUAUAUCUGAAUCUUCAAUUAAUAUAAUUACAGAAGUUCUAGCUAUCUACAUUGAAUCAUUCAAAUGAAAUUUGUAAAUAAGAUGAGAACAUGUAUUAGACUUCUCUACUCAGGCAAUUACAAAUGUAAUUGUAAUUGUGAACCAAUUGUAGUUGUGAACCAAUUUUUAGGGGGGGCAUAGGAGAAUAUGAGAUAGUUAGGUGGCUAAGUAGUGUAAAAAAUAGACUUGAAUACUUGAAUACAGAACUACAAUCCCCACGAGCCUUUGCUCCACUUCCCCAGAAUGCCUUGUAAUCUCACCUGGGUGGAGAUUGAGAAGGUAUUUAAGCUGAUUCAAAGGCUUUUGUCUCGUUCUCUCGCUCUUGGCUCUUGGCUCUUUUUGGACUUCCAUUUUGGAGCAGGCUGUCUCUUGCGUGAUGUGAGGUUAUUUUGUCUAGGCCUCUGGCCUAGGCACAUGUUUCUUACUUGUAUAUUCUUUAAUCUUUAACCUUUAAUAAACCUCUAAAAAAAUAUAAUACUCCUUGCAGAGAGAAACUAAUUUCUACCUGCCUCAGUCUCCCCGUCUCCCCUAAAUUUUAAUCUUUACAGUUGGCGUAACCACUUUGGGAGAAAAAAAACUCUUAAUCUUCUGAUUUAAUCUUUAAUAUCUAGUACCUAGAAAUAUUUUUUUUUUGAGCCGUAUCUCUCUGGCCAAGGUUUUCUACCCUUGCAAAGCUGCUUCAGGCUCCGGACCUGUUGCCCACCCCACCUGGCUCGGCCCCCGCAGCCGCUCCGGCUCCUGGCCUCUCACCGGCCCGCUGCCUGCCUAUUUCUACGCCCCAGACCCAUGAGCGUGACACCAGACCGCUCAUCCCCCAGAUCCUUGGAGCAGAUCGCUCAGGACUCAUUGCAACCAGCUGGUAACAGUAUUGGCCACAGGGGUAUCAGAGAGGGGAAAGAGAGAAAAGACUAGAGAGAAGAAACAGAUUUUUCAAACAGAAACUUAAAAAGCAAUGGGCUGUUUAAAAGGAUUUUUGACUGUUCUGGUAAUUUCAUUGAUUUCACCUGCGUGCCAGAAGAAACAUUCAGCCCAAAGAUUCAACUUUGAAUUUGCAAAUGGGUGACUCGGGGAAUUGAGAGCCAGGCCUAGAGACAGAAGGUCCUGGGUUCAAAUCGGACCUUGGAUACUUCCCAGCUGUGUGACUCUGAUAGACAGAAAACAGCUGUUUUAAAUCUCAGCAACAGGACCCUAAAGUCCUGGCUGGAAGAGCUGUUUCUAAAUAUCCUUUCCCUUAAGGAACAACUUCCUGGAUUAGGAAAAAAAAAACCACCCAAGGAACUUUAAAGACUAAAGGCUAUAUUCUAAGGCGUUUCAGACUCCAAUGGUUUAAAAAAAAUCUCUAUAUUCUAUUGCAUUUUUUGUUAUGGUUUAACUUUGUGAUUUUAAGUUCAUAUAUUACUGGAUCCAAUAUUAUUCUGUGAACUGAAGGUUGAUUGAGUUUAUUUUGAAUGUAAUGAGUUUUAAAAAUUCUGUUGUUUUCCCCCUGUAACUGUAUUGAACAAAUAUUAUUGUGAAUAAGCCCAUAUAUGAAAAAAUAGCUUUUUUCUAUUUUGCUGAGGAUAGAUGGACUUCAGAACUGGUUAUAAUUGUAUCAACAACCUUUGGAAUUUUAAUGUGCUAAAUACCUCAAAUGAUUUGAUUUUAAGGGUUUUUUAAAUAUGAUUUUUGGAAUUUUUUUUAACAAUCUGGUUAUUUUUGCCUGCCUCUACCACGAGGUAAGGCCCAUUAGCUGAAGUGAAAUACAUUUUAUAAACCCCAACCUUCCCACAUGUGAAUGGAAGUUGGGCAGUUAAUUUCAGGGCAUUUGUACCCUUAAAAAGCCUCCAAGAAAAAGGAGCACCCCUUUAUUUAUACUCUUCAGCUCACUACUUUACUUGCACCAGAAUGAUAUAUAGAUUUCUUGAUUAUGUUCUUAACCCAAGAUGAGUUUUACUUUGUUUAAAAAAUAUGUUCAAAUACCAAGGUUGAAAGAUUACUAUGUUUGUAAAAAUUGUGACAAAUGUCCAUCAAUUCAUAGGUUUUAAAAAUGUCAUACAGCAACUUAUGUGAAAUAUGAAAGUGUGUUUGUUUGCUAUUGUAAUUAAUUGGGCUAUUGAGAAUUUGGGGGACUUUGAUAUCUACAUAUUUGUACUACUGUAUUUUUAAAGAUGAAAAAAUUGUUAACCUUGUUCAAUUCAUUUGCCUUCUACUCACAGUGAUCAUGGCCAGAUACAAAGAGGAAAUGGAUCUCAUUUUUUGGUGAGAAAGCCUUGCAUUUUAUAUUUUCUUAGCUGACACAGAGUGUCAAUGAUUAUAAGCUAUAUUUUUGAAUUUUUUAAAGCUCUUUUAUUAUUAUAUUUUUCUUGCAUGUGCAAUAUACUUUUUCAGUUUUUUUUUAUUAUUUUUUCUCUCCUUUUUAUAUUUGAAGCACAUGUCACCAGUAUUAAGAUUUUCUUUAACCUUUUGAUUUUUCAGUACUACAAGUGUAAGAUACAUUUGUCAGAGCAUGCCCAAAAAGCUUGUGACUAUAAAAACGAUGCCACUAAUUAUUUAAAUAAAUUAUGGGACUUUGCUUAAUGAUUCUGUCUGAUUCCAGGACAAGAGAUACACACAAGAGCCAUUUCACAGAGCCAAAGAAAGGCCAAUCUAGGAUGGAUUGAUGCACUUCUAGGCCAAUACAAAGGUCUUGAACCUAGUGUGAAGACUCGAGGUUACUAUGUUUAACAUGUGUUAAGACAUAGGCUUUCCUUGUAUCCACACUCACCCUGAAGAUACAGACGAGUAUCCCCGAAACCUUGGCUCCUAUAAUCUGGUCCCCUUUUCUGCCUCUCAUAGUGUGGUACCUUUCUGUAGUCCUGGCACUGACUGGGUAAAUGCAUCGUUACUUAGAUCAUUUUGAUUGGGCCCUGAUUGAAGGACCUGUUAUAGAUUUAUUUUUCUUCUACUUGGAAUUUUUACACAUAAGACUUUGAUAGUCUAUAUUUUCAUCCAGAAAUUUUUCUUUUCUUUUGGAUUUUCUGAUGUCUUUUUAAUAUCUCUUGCCAAUUGAUUCAUAUACCUCAUACAUCAGCCAUGCAUCCCUAACUGAUUCUGAAUCUUUCAAUCACCCACAACACGAGGGAAUGUAAAAAAAAUCAUUAUUUAAAUUGCAAAGUUUAAAUUCCUUUUGAGAAGAAUUUUAGGUAAAGAAGAUGCUACCUCUCUGAAUCCAGAACUGAACUGUUGGAGAAGCCACCAUGAAGAAGCCUCCAGACCACAAGUUGCACAAAAUUGAACUUUGGGUGUGGUUGAUUGAACAUUUAUUUGUAUGUAUACUUUUAUGCCAAAGGGGACUGCCCCCUAACGGCUUUUUGUCAAUGUGUUCAGCAAUUAUUGGUUUUAUUUUUUUUUCUCUUAUCCUCACACUAUUGUAAUCUUUUAAGUUUAUUAUGUUUUUAUGAUCCUUUUGGGGAAAAUUUUUCCAAAAAUGAUCACACGGGGAUAUGUAAAAAAAAUAGACUCAAAUACAGGACUACAAUCCCCACGAGCCUUUGCUCCACUUCCCCAGAAUGCCUUGUAAUCUCACCUGGGUGGAGAUUGAGAAGGUAUUUAAGCUGAUUCAAAGGCUUUUGUCUCGCUCUCUCGCUCUUGGCUCUUUUUGGACUUCCAUUUUGGAGCAAGCUGUCUCUUGCGUGAUGUGAGGUUAUUUUGUCUAGGCCUCUGGCCUAGGCACAUGUUUCUUACUUGUAUAUUCUUUAAUCUUUAACCUUUAAUAAACCUCUAAAAAAAUAUAA